CCAGCCUCCUCUGCACCCUCUGUAGUUUAAAAUCCAGCAGGCUUUAAGGGUUCCACUCCCUGACCAGCUCAGCAUCUGCCCGUCUCUGCAUUCCUCUCUUUUUCCCUAAGCUGCUCCUGCUUUGAGUUCAGAGGAAAAAGAAAAAAUGUCAGACAACGAAGAAGUUGAGGAAUAUGAAGAGCAGGCGGACGAGGAAGUGAUUGAAGAGGCAGAUGAGGAGCCAGAGGAUGGAGGAGAGGAGGCAAAACCCAAAUUCAAGCCUUUCAUGUUGCCCAACCUGGUGCCUCCCAAGAUUCCAGAUGGAGAAAAAGUUGACUUUGAUGAUAUCCACCGUAAGCGCAUGGAGAAGGACCUGAUUGAGCUGCAGUCGCUGAUUGAGGCUCACUUUGAGAACCGCAAAAAAGAAGAGGAGGAGCUGAUCAACCUCACGGACAGGAUUGAGAAGCGUCGUUCUGAGCGGGCAGAGCAGCAUCGGAUUCGCAGCGAGCGUGAGAAAGAACGGCAGAAGCGUGUUGAGGAGGAGCGGGCACGAAAAGAGGAGGAGGAGGCAAAGAAGAGAGCAGAUGAAGAUGCCAAAAAGAAAAAGACUCUCACCAGCUUACAUUUUGGCGGUUACAUGCAGAGAACAGUACGAGUUGGAAAGAAACAGACUGAGCGGGAAAAGAAGAAGAAGAUCCUCAGUGACCGCCGCAAACCUCUGGAUAUUGACAGUCUGAAUGAGAACAGCCUGAGGUUGAAUUCAAAAGAACAGCUCAACAGAUAUAUACUGUGGAAAAGGCUAAAGAGUUGUGGAGUUGGAUGUACGAGUUAGAGGCUGAGAAAUUUGAGCUGCAAUACGAGUUCACAAAGCAGAGAUAUGAAAUUAAUGUGCUGAGAAACCGAGUGAGUGACCACCAGAAAACGUCGAAGCGAACCAAGAGGGGCCUGAGGAAGUAGACAUCCUCUGUUGGUGGCCAUCAGCUUCACAAACCCUCAUCUCACUUUUCAUCUUUGAAGCCUUUGUAACAUCCCCUUUAGCUUGCAUUUCAAUUAUGUGUUCUGUUAUGUCUAUGAAAUGGAGAGGUGUAAUGUAUUCAGUUUAGAAAAGUAUAAUUGAAAAUAAAAUAAUAUGUAGAUUUGGCAA